GAGUGUUUGUGAGAGCCUGUAAACACAAAGUUUGAGUGACUCUGUGCUUGGGUUUGUGAGUGGUACUUGUUCUUGUAAUAUCUUUGGUGAUAAAGUGUUUAAUCUCUUCCACCCGUUGACGUAGGCAAUUGCCGAACCACGAGUCUUCACCAGCACGAUUUCUUUCUUCUCAAUGAUUUUAGAUGGUACCAAUUGCUAAUGUAAUAAAUGAUGUUGGCUAGUGGCUACAGUAGGUGGGUUGGUCCACUGCUUGCAUUAUUAUGAGAGAUGUCAUUUCUUUUGCUGAAUGUUGAUUGUUGAAUUAGUUAAUAUUUGAGUAUACUUAUUUU